CCAGGCAAUAAGAAUGCUGCCAAAAAGUCCUACUACAGAUAGCAUACAUAAAGACCAAGAGCAACCCAUAAUUCUUUGAACACAGGCCAAGGAACUCUGAGACAGCCUAGUUUCUUAAUUACAAAUAACAUCUAACCUACGAAUACGAUAUAGGGUCCUAAGAUAAUUAAGAAAGAAGUAUUUCAAAGUACCAUGACAAUUCCAUGAUAGGAUAUUCAUGAUUAAGUGGAUAUGUUAGAGG
rnacentral:lncRNA from 1 species